UGAUAGCUAUGAUGCGUGAGGUUGCCAACAGGCAUGCCCGUUGGGUUUUUACGCGGAGCGAAUGUCAAGUCCCGAUACUGGCGACAA
rnacentral:ncRNA from 1 species